UGAAGACGCGUGAGUAAAUAAAUCGUAGUUAGAAAAGAAACAUUAAAACAUUUGAAAAGUCAAGACUUGAGCAAUAACAUAUCUUGGAAAUUCCAUCAACAGUGAUGACUCGUGUUCACAACAUCAAAUCGACGCUAUGAAUAUUUGGGUGGCAAUUUGACAGUUUAGAAAAGCUGAAUGUAGACCUUUUGUAUUCAUAAUAAACAAUACGUAUUUUAGAUAUAAUAUUUAAUAAUAAAAUAUAGCGCAAGAACACUUCUAUUCGCUUCAUCGAUUCGACGGUAUCUGUGGCAACAUGACUAAGAAACGCGAGGGUCAUAACAUCGUCACAAACGCUCAAUAUUAGUACCCUACGAAUGCAAUCUCAACACAUAUAAACUAACACAUGUAUAUAGUUGUAAAUUGAGGUUUAAAACACAACAUACAGACAAACAAUAUAAGGAAUAUAUAAGGAACAAAGUUUUCCACAUCAAAUUACUCAUAAUUGACAUAAAAUAUAUGUAUGAACUCUGAUGUAAAAAAAUUGCCCUCGUAUGAUAAAAUAAUAAUGGUUCUGCAGGAUAUACAUGUACAAUAAAUGGUUCUGCAGGAUAUACAUGUACAAUAAAUGGUUCUGCAGGAUAUACAUGUACAAGAUUUUUACACUCUCACACAAAUAAAGUCUCGAGAAAUACAAUA